rnacentral:miRNA from 1 species
ACUGUGUAAGUCAGGCUCCUGGCUGGAUGGUAUUGUGACCAGCUGUGUGGCAGGCUGUGCCUUGGUCAG